rnacentral:rRNA from 1 species
GUCUAUAACCAUACCACCCUGAGCACACCCGAUCUCAUUUGAUCUUGGAAACUAAGCAGGGUCACGCCUGGCUAGUGCUUGGAUGGGAGACCCUGCCUAGAAGGUAGAAGGUGAAGAAU